GGGGGGGGUGGGAGGGGGUUGGGUAAGUCUCUUCUCUCCCCCUGCUGCCACCCCUCUGUUGAUGCAGACCAUGAUACUGUUGGCCUUCUGGGCUGCGAGGGCACACUGCUGGCUCAUGUCCUGCAAGUCCUUCUCUGCAGGGCUAUUCUCAAGGAGUUUUUUCUCCCAGUCUAUACUUGUAUCUGGAAUUGUCUCAAUCCAUGUGUAACAUCUUGCACUUGGUUCUGUUAAACCUCAUUAGACUCUUGAGUGCCACUUUUUGAGCAUGUCCAGAUCCCUCUGGAUGGCAUCUCUCCCUUCUACUGUGUCAACUCCACCACUCAGCUUAGCAUCACCAGCAAACCUCUGUGGGUACACCUAGUCCCUCUGAUUAUGUUGUUGAUAAAGGUGCUGAAGAGCAGUGGUUUUAGGACGGACCACUGAGAGACAAUAUUCAUAACUGGUCUCCAUCUGCACACACAGCUGUUGACAGCACUUCCCUGGCUACAAUCAUCCAACCAAUUCUUUAUCCACUGAAGAGUUCACCCCAUCAAAUUUGUAUCUUUCCAAUGUAGAGGUGAGGAUGUGGUGCAGGACCAUGUUAAAGGCCUUGCCCAAGUCCGGGUACAUGACAUCAGUUCCUCUUCCUUCAUCGGUCAGUGCCAUCACUCCAUCACAGGAGACCACCAGAUUGGUCAGGCACAAUCUGCCCUUGGCGGAGCCGUGCUGGCUCUCUUGGAUCAUCUCAUCUCGCAUAUGCUUUAUCAUCUAUUCCAGGAGGAUACACUCCAUGAUCUUCCGAGACACAAAGGUGAGACUCACCGCCCUGUAGUUCCCCGAGUCUUCCUUUCUCCUUUAAUGUGGGAAUAUUCUGAAUCUUGUUAUGAUUUAAAAUUUCUCAAAAUAAGGAUUCUUUUACUCUGGAAUAAUGAGAAAUUUCAGGAGAACAUCUGACUGGGUAAAAAGUUUCUAUUGUAUGUGUAUUUAAAAGGCAAUUUUUUUGUGUUUUGCAGCUGCACAAUGUAUAAGUCAUCUUCAUUGUGCAUGGAGUGCAGGUAUGGAUAGCCUGUUCUGCAGGAAUGUAUUGCAAAUAUAUUUAUAGCUUUGAAAUUUGUGGUAUGUCAUAUUUAUACUCUUCAUCAGCAGAACAAUUGGCUACCUGUAUUCAAUAUCAUAUGACUUUGGCUCCUCUUGUGGCUGAUGUAACAAGAAUUUGAGAAGUUAUGUGAGCCUGGGCAAAAAUCUUAUAUGGUUAGAGAGCAACAUAGCAGGAAAAACAAAAAGAAAGGAACAAGGAAUUGAUGGAAGUCAGUUUUAAGACAUAAAAAUAUACCUUUCCACUUUGACGCUAUGUGUGAAAGUACAGUGCUCUGGAUAAGAUUACGCAAUAUUGGAAAUAUCUUUCAGUAGUAAUCUGCAGUUGUCAUGAAUGGAAUUAAAUACCUUGCUGCAUCCAUCUUAUUUUAUUGAUUUGUGAAAGAUGAUUAUCCAAGGAUUUGAUGGUUUCUGAAUAACCCAAUAAAAUUAUUUCCUGGUAAAAUCUUGGAUCUCAUUCUAUUCUCUGAGAUGGUUAACUGACAGUCAGCACAUAUUAGAAAUGUAUACGUGAUCAAUAACAGGCACGGCCUUUUUCAAGGCAAAGACUUGUGGGCUGCUACAAGAACUAGCUUCAUUGAAGCACAGUAGGUACACAUAUUUUACCAUACAGGAGCUCAUCUGUACACAUCUGGUGCUCUCCAAGAAAGCAGGAAUUUUCUUCCUCACUACAGCCUGGAACGAUCACAUCUUUUGAACAACUCACUUCUGGAAGACUGACAUUUAUCAAAAUGUUACACGGACAACCUGAGACUGAAAUGCUGAGCCAAAAUGAAUGACAUCAUCCGUAAUACCAGUAAGUCAGUCAGAAUGGUCCUAGGGAUGUCAUCAAUGCCAAGAGCCUUCUCGUUAUUCUUAUACAACUAGCACAGUAUACAUGGCAGCAGAUAAGCAUCAAAGGAAUGGAUAACACCGUAAGCCUAAUGCUUUUACACUGUUUCAGGAGCAACCUUCUGCAAGUCUAUAGAGACCUACAGUCUUAUUAGAAGGUGUCUGACCUUCGAGGAAGUAAGCUCAGCUAUCAGCUCAAGUGCUAUCAUCCCUGAGUCAGAGAAGAAGGACAGAUGAACUGAUGUGGAGAUCUGCAUUCUUUAACCUGGACUAUUUUCAGCCCCUUGGUAAUCAGUAUCUGUCCACUGCACUGCGACUCUCUGCAAAAAGGAGAACCUAACAGUAAUUCAGUGUUAUUUUCUACAGUGUACAUGGAGCUUUAAAGUUUUGAUUUUACUUACAUACUAGUGUAGUUUUCCAUUCAGUAUGGAUGAAGUGGAUGGUAUAGAGGUGCAGUCCAAUAAGGUCCAAAAGUUAUAAAAAUCUGACCCAAGUAAACAAUAAUUAAGGGUGAGCUUUUACUGUAUUUAUAUAAAAGAUGUCCCCAUCUAAAGACAUUGCAACUGGAACAAAUGGUCUUAAAGUACAUUUCAUGAGCUGAAUGUUUUUUGUAAUACGUAUUAUUGUUUGUGUGUGAUGACAACUACAGCCUUUCACAAAUACAGUUCUAUUCCAAACACUUGUAUAAGAAUGGGAAGAUACUGACAUCUAAAUCAGGGUAUUAAGGUUUUCCUGUAGGAGCAUUCUGCUGUCGUCAGUGUGCUUUAGUGUGUAAAUGAUAUUUUUUCUUGUACCGUCUGUUCGGAGAGGAACUUUUAAGUUCUCUUCCAGAUAUUUAACAUUAGAGUCAAAGUUGAACUUUUAACUUCCUGCUGGAGAAAGCACUUCUUGGUGCUACGUAUCAUCCUCAAAGGGAUACAUCUACACUGGCUAUAUAAGUAGGUUCACAGCUUUUAGCAUCAGUGCCUCAAUGUAUGCAACAUGAAAUUCUUCCCAACAUUUCCAAAUGGAUCAACAUAACCACAUUUGAAAAUACAGCAUUACAGUUAAGGGAAGAAAAGCAAAAAAUAAGUAAUAAUUUAUAAAACUAUUUCGUUUGGUUUUCAGAAUAAAUGUAGCAGUUUUGUUGAACAAAAAUAUAACUUCAGUUCUCUUUCCCCAUAACUUUCUUUUGGAUGAGGAAAUUAUUGUACCUUAUUGACUGGGUGUCUGCAGCUCAGUUACAUAUUUUUGCAUUUCCACUUGUUCAGGCUAGUGUAGAGAGAUGUGUAUGUGAAAUUUCUGAAAUACCUGUUUUGCAAGGAUAGAUAUACUGGUUUAUGAAAGCAUGAAUGCACUUCCAUAAAUCUUGGUAAUGGUUUAGUAUUUCAUCUGUAGGACAUAGGUUCAUUCCUCAUCCAUUUUUACCUAUCCUUAUGCACUACAGAACUUAUCUGAAAACUUGUGGUAAUAAAAAGUGGGAAAAAAAUGUUCUGUUACUCCAAGGCUAUUUUAAGAAAGAAAAGCAGUCCUAUUGGAGUUGAUGCCUUACAUCCUCAGAGAGUACUCCCUCUUUUGAGCAUGAAUAAAAGCAAGCAUCUCAAAAGACUAGCCCAAUCAAUUUAA